UACGUAGGGCGCAAGCGUUGUCCGGAAUUAUUGGGCGUAAAGAGCUCGUAGGCGGCCUGUUGCGUCCGCUGUGAAAUCCCGGGGCUCAACCCCGGGCCUGCAGUGGAUACGGGCUGGCUAGAGGCAGGCAGGGGAGAACGGAAUUCCUGGUGUAGCGGUGAAGUGCGCAGAUAUCAGGAGGAACACCGGUGGCGAAGGCGGUUCUCUGGGAAGUAACUGACGCUGAGAAGCGAAAGCAUGGGUAGCAAACAGG
rnacentral:rRNA from 1 species